rnacentral:rRNA from 2 species
GGGUGCGAUCAUACCAGUACUAAUGCACCGGAUCCCAUCAGAACUCAGCAGUUAAACGUACUUGGGCGAGAGUAGUACUAGGAUGGGUGACCUCCCAGAAAGUCCUCGUGUUGCAUCCA